AUUGAACGCUGGCGGCAGGCUUAACACAUGCAAGUCGAGCGGAGCGGCGGACGGGUGAGUAAUGUCUGGGAAACUGCCUGAUGGAGGGGGAUAUCGUCCGGAAACGGGAGCUAAUAUCGCAUAUUAUCUGAUGAGCCUAGGUCGGAUUAGCUAGUUGGGGGGGUAAAGGCCCACCAAGGCGACGAUCCGUAACUGGUCUGAGAGGAUGAUCAGUCACACUGGAACUGAGACACGGUCCAGACUCCUACGGGAGGCAGCAGUGGGGAAUAUUGGACAAUGGGCGAAAGCCUGAUCCAGCCAUGCCGCGUGUGUGAAGAAGGUCUUCGGAUUGUAAAGCACUUUAAGUUGGGAGGCGUUACCAGCAGAAUAAGCACCGGCUAACUCCGUGCCAGCCGCCGCGGUAAUUC
rnacentral:rRNA from 1 species